GGAUGUGAAGGCUAUCUGGCUGUGACAUCUGUCACCCCAUUGAUCACUGGGGUUGAUUCAGCUGAUCUGGCUGGCUAGGUGGGUGUCCCCUUCCUCUCUCACUGGCCCAUGUGCAUCCCCCGCAAAGCUGCAUGCUCGGUCAAAGAGGAUGACCUUCCCCAAAUAGAGGAGGACCGGUCUUUGGUCAAUGGUAUAUGAGUAGCUGUGCUCCCCUGCUACAACCUCCAAACAAGCUCUCAAAAUGCUUAAAGAAAAGGAAGAUAUGGGAUGGCAUAUUUAAAGUGCUUAAAGACAAGGAUUAUCAAACAAAAAUUCUAUAU
rnacentral:snRNA from 1 species